rnacentral:lncRNA from 1 species
UGCUUUAAACUUUGCCCAUAUAAUAGAAAGGCAGGAAAUCCCAAAAGGGCCUUAUUUCAUCAGAAAAUAAGGACAUUACAUGCCUUAUUGAAGAGAUGGCAAAGAUCUCUCGCACCAAAACAAUAUUCUCAACUUUAGCUAUAGAGGUUGCGAAGAAAGUUUGUCUUCCAUCUCAUAUAGGGCACUCAGGCAAUGAGAUCUGUGUCUCUUCAUGUG